AGCAGCCGCGGUAAUUCCAGCUCCAAUAGCGUAUAUUAAAGUUGUUGCAGUUAAAAAGCUCGUAGUUGAAUUUCGGGACCAAUUUGUUGGUCGUGCCCUCGGUACGUACUGGUAUUAUUGGUUUCUCCCUUCUGAAGAACCUCGAUGUCAUUUAAUUUGGUGUCGGUGGGGAAUCGAGGACUGUUACUUUAGAAAAAAUUAGAGUGUUUAAAGCAGGCAUACGCUUGAAUACAUUAGCAUGGAAUAAUGAAAUAGGACGUUUGAUUCUAUUUUGUUGGUUUCUAGGAUCGACGUAAUGAUUAAUAGGGAUAGGUUGGGGGCAUUAGUAUUCAAUUGUCAGAGGUGAAAUUCUUGGAUUUAUUGAAGACUAACUACUGCGAAAGCAUUUGCCAAGGAUGUUUUCAUUAAUCAAGAACGAAAGUUAGGGGAUCGAAGACGAUCAGAUACCGUCGUAGUCUUAACCAUAAACUAUGCCGACUAGGGAUCGGAUGAUGUUUAAUUUUUUAAUGUACUCAUUCGG
rnacentral:rRNA from 1 species